UAUUGAGCAAAUGCCAGAUAGUCUCUGUUUUUCAUUCAAAUCCAUUAAACCUGCACUCGUCCUCUUGAAUAUCAUCCUCGUCCUCUUAAAUAUCAUCCUCAUCCUCACAAAUCUGUAAAUUUAACGAAGUGGAGGAGACAACUCUUAUAGAAGAUUUGUCAGAAUCGGGACCGUCCCAUCCUAUUACCGCUCCUGCAUCACGUGAUUUGGAUCAAUUCCUCUACUGCAUGGUCACGUGGCGAAACCGGGGCGUAUAAAAGUAGUUGCGAAAUAAAGCAUUUCCUCCCAUAACCAAUUUCCACAGUAAACAGCAACAGCAGUUAAUCUCAUCAAUAACAUGUCUCCAGUAGCAUUGAGAGUGGCUAUUUUGUCGAUGGCCCUUUUUUGCGUCGUCUAUGCUAAAAGCAUCGGACAAGAAAAGGCCAUACCAUAUGAACUCGACUUUACGCCAGACGACGGAUCUCCAGAAACAGCAAUUAUGAAUUAUCUUUUCGCUCGUCAGAUGGUUAAUAGACUUCGUAAUAA